UGAUCUAUGAUCACUAUCUUGUCUUAAUUCUCAAAUUUAGCUCACUUUAAUCAUGUACCUCAUCAUUUGUCUUUUAAUGACAGCUUAAAUUGAGAGUUUUAAGUGGCUCAGCAAAACAUAAUGCAAAUGGGGGGGUGGAUAAUUCCAGUUUAUUAGUGUUAUACAUAUUGAGGAAAACCUAUUAUUUUUUUCCCUCUGGAUUCAGAAAGAAAAAAUAAACCAUUUAUUUCUUGGUAUUCUGCUGCCAUAGGUAGGUUCACUUAUCUUUUAACCUAUAUUGUAUGACUGUUGUACAAGUGUAGGUCCUAUGGAGUUGCACAUUAAUCUUUACCAGUAAAAUAAGCAUCACAGGGUUAAUACCAGUUUGGCUGAAAGAAUUAUGCAGUAAAAUUAUUUAUAAGGGAAAGUGGUGACUUAGCUUAAUUUAUUCAAUAUUUUUCUUUUGAAGCAUCUCAUUACUUUUAAAAUCAUUUCAUAAUCCUUUAUACAUGAGCCAAUGAAAUAUUUUGAGCUCUAAAGAAAAGCGUGAAGUCUAUAUGAUAAAUCUGAACAACAAAAGCACUUGUAACUUGUUUUGUAAGUUACUUAUUUUCCAUUUUUGACACCGAAAAGUGCAUUUUCUGUCAACUGUGAGCAAAUUUCCCUUUUGCCUUUAAUGAAAAUAGUGCAUUAAGUAGCCAACUGCUGCAGAAUUACAGAGCAAGUUAGCUAAAGGUGGAUCACAUUGGACUACCACUCAAAGAAACAAGAUGCAUAGCAGAUGGAAGAGAUCGGGAGAGAAAAAUGCUCAUCCCCUAAACUAAGAGCUUUACUUCCAGCUCUCAUACUGUACAUGUGGAGUGUGAAAUGAUCGCUUAGCUUCUUAAUCACCUCGUUCUGUGAUGAGCCCCUGGCGCUGAGUCACAUUUCACUGGCAGUCGGUCACAGGCCAAAUAUAGAGCAGCUCUAAUUUGUUCAGUGUCUCAUGGGUCACUGAGAAAGAAUAGGGCUUGAGGACAGACUCCACUAGUCAGAUCACACAGAUCCAAAUGUGUGAUCAUAGGCUAUAACACCUAGCCAAGAACUCAUAUUUAAGAUCUUGUACUAGGGUUUUGGAGAAAGAUGCUGAGUUUGACUGUGUUUAUCAAGGAAUAUGAAAACCACGAGGGGCUGAGUUAGGAAGAAGAAGGUAAGGAGAAUUCUAGGCAAAGUAAACCCUCGAGGUUGGCACGGAAGAGCCCAGAAAGAACAUGAAGGAACCAAGCUCUACAUGAAAAAAGUUUCUUGGGUUUUGUGCUCUCCUUCUUGAAAAUCUUCAACCCUGGAAUGUUUGAUAUCAAGGUGUUCUGGUCUAAAAAGAGAAUUAUAGAACCUCAAAGGAAGUA
rnacentral:lncRNA from 1 species